rnacentral:rRNA from 1 species
GAUGAACGCUGGCGGCGUGCCUAAUACAUGCAAGUCGAGCGAACAGAUGAGGAGCUUGCUCCUCUGACGUUAGCGGCGGACGGGUGAGUAACACGUGGAUAACCUACCUAUAAGACUGGGAUAACUUCGGGAAACCGGAGCUAAUACCGGAUAAUAUAUUGAACCGCAUGGUUCAAUAGUGAAAGACGGUUUUGCUGUCACUUAUAGAUGGAUCCGCGCCGCAUUAGCUAGUUGGUAAGGUAACGGCUUACCAAGGCAACGAUGCGUAGCCGACCUGAGAGGGUGAUCGGCCACACUGGAACUGAGACACGGUCCAGACUCCUACGGGAGGCAGCAGUAGGGAAUCUUCCGCAAUGGGCGAAAGCCUGACGGAGCAACGCCGCGUGAGUGAUGAAGGUCUUCGGAUCGUAAAACUCUGUUAUUAGGGAAGAACAAAUGUGUAAGUAACUAUGCACGUCUUGACGGUACCUAAUCAGAAGGCCACGGCUAACUACG